rnacentral:rRNA from 1 species
AGCUUGCGGUGAAACCCACUAUCUUCAUCCAGACUUUUCAUGCUUGUGUUCAAGAAUUCUUUGGUUUUGCCAAGCCUGUGGCCAACACUUGUUACCGACAUAGUCAACUGAUCUGCAUCAAGGAUUGCUGCAUUCCUGACAUUUUGAAGUUCAUCUCCUAAACUGGACACAACCUGCAGACCUAGUUGUUUAUAUUCGUCUUCAAUAAGAUCAUUCUUGUCCACACUGGAUAUGCUGCCCGUCUGCUCCUUUGCAGCCCGUGCAGAACGGACACCUUCAGAAUGGAUCAUCUCUUGA